GAUGAACGCUGGCGGCGUGCCUAAUACAUGCAAGUCGAGCGAACGGACGCGAAGCUUGCUUUUCUGAUGUUAGCGGCGGACGGGUGAGUAACACGUGGAUAACCUACCUAUAAGACUGGGAUAACUUCGGGAAACCGGAGCUAAUACCGGAUAAUAUUUUGAACCGCAUGGUUCAAAAGUGAGAGACGGUCUUGCUGUCACUUAUCGAUGGAUCCGCGCUGCAUUAGCUAGUUGGUAAGGUAACGGCUUACCAAGGCAACGAUGCAUAGCCGACCUGAGAGAGUGAUAGGCCACACUGGAACGGAGACACGGUCCAGACUCCUACGGGAGGGAGCAGUAGGGAAUCGUCCGCAAUGGUCGGAAGCCUGACGGAACGACGCCACGUGAGUGAUAGAGGUCUUCGGAUCGUAAAACUCGGUUAUUAGGUAAAAACAGAUGUGUAAGGAGCUGUGCACAGCUUGACGGUACCGAAUCAGAAAGCCACGGCUAACUACGUG
rnacentral:rRNA from 1 species